rnacentral:rRNA from 1 species
AAUAAGCUAAAUAAGAGCGUAUGGGGAAUGCCUAGGCUCUCAGAGGCGAUGAAGGACGUGAUAAGCUGCGAAAAGUUGCGGGGAUUGGCACAUACAAAUUGAUCCGCAAAUAUCCGAAUGGGGCAACCCACUAUAUUGAAGAUAUAGUAUUCUGAACUUGUUUCAGGAGGCAAACCCAGGGAACUGAAACAUCUAAGUACCUGGAGGAGAAGAAAACAAAAGUGAUUCCGUUAGUAGUGGC